CAAUAGCGUAUAUUCAAGUUGUUGCAGUUAAAAGCUCGUAGUUGAAUUUUGGGCCUGGCUAGGCGGUUUAACCGCAAGGUUAACACUGCUUUGGUUGGGCCUUUCCUUCUAGGGAACUAGUGUGUUCUUUAUUGAAUGCGUUAGGGAUCUAGGACUGUUACUUUGAAAAAUUAGAGUGUUUAAAACAGGCUUAUGCUUGAAUACAUUAGCAUGGAAUAACGGAAUAGGACUUUGUUUCUAUUUUGUUGGUUUUCAGAAACGAAGUAAUGAUUAAUAGGGAUAGUUGGGGGCGAUUAGUAUUCCAUUGUCAGAGGUGAAAUUCUUGGAUUUAUGAAAGACUAACUUCUGCGAAAGCAUUUGCCAAGGAUGUUUUCAUUAAUCAAGAACGAAAGUCAGGGGAUCGAAGACGAUCAGAUACCAU
rnacentral:rRNA from 1 species